rnacentral:rRNA from 1 species
AUUGAACGCUGGCGGCAUGCUUUACACAUGCAAGUCGAACGGUAGAGGGGGCAACCCCUUGAGAGUGGCGAACGGGUGAGUAAUGCAUCGGAACGUGCCCAGUCGUGGGGGAUAACGCAGCGAAAGCUGUGCUAAUACCGCAUACGAUCUCUGGAUGAAAGCGGGGGACCGAAAGGCCUCGCGCGAUUGGAGCGGCCGAUGUCAGAUUAGGUAGUUGGUGGGGUAAAGGCCAACCAAGCCAACGAUCUGUAGCUGGUCUGAGAGGACGACCAGCCACACUGGGACUGAGACACGGCCCAGACUCCUACGGGAGGCAGCAGUGGGGAAUUUUGGACAAUGGGCGCAAGCCUGAUCCAGCAAUGCCGCGUGCAGGAAGAAGGCCUUCGGGUUGUAAACUGCUUUUGUACGGAACGAAACGGUCUGGGUUAAUACCCUGGGCUAAUGACGGUACCGUAAGAAUAAGCACCGGCUAACUACGUGCCAGCCGCCGCAGUAA